UUUUUGAGGGGUAACGCUGUACGUUAUAUGUUUUUUUUACACAAAUAUAUGACUAUUUUAUAUUCAUAAGCGUAUAGCUUUUCCCCUUAAAUG
rnacentral:pre_miRNA from 1 species